GCUCCCACAGUCGUUAGGGAAUAAUCAGCUUAUGGGGGGAAAGCAAGGCCUUCAAGGUGCUCACACCAUUUCUGGAGUGAAAACCCUCAGAAAACCACAAGGUUUUGCAAGAGUUGCUCUACAGUCGCCAGAGUUGGCAGUGCUGCUGUCUUGGGGACAGGAGUCAGCAUCACCACCUUCCCAUCUGCAGCUUCAACCAGAAUAAAUGAAAGGAAAAUAAAAUGCCAAAUGCCAUCCUGCUGCAAGGUUUUCAACAGAAGGAGAAUGCUGUUCCUUGCUGUGCUGCCUUCCCACGCUGCAGCUGUAGGGAACCCAGAACCGCGCUUGCAACAGGGAUGCUGCUGGAAUCACCGGGGAGGGAGCCAGAGGCAAAGCCUGGAUUGGCAGCACAGAGGCUGAAUGCAGAUGUCCUUCUUUCUCUGCUUCCCUGGUACAUCACCAGAGACAGCACAUCACUACUGACUCUGAGCCCUCAUGUGGGUUACUAUGCUUCAUCUGGCUCAGGUUUCACAGACUGCUAAGGAUUUCCAAGGAUCCACUCAGUUCUUGAAGAAUCCACACAACUGGGACUACACUGUGUUUAAACUUAGAGGGAAGGGCAGAGUAGAUUUUAUGUUAUGUGGGUCACUCCUGAGAGUUUUUUAAUCCAGAUUUCAAUGCUUAUUAUAAAGAAAAGUACAACCAUGAAUAAUAGGAAGAAGUUUCUUCAUCUCAUUUCUCCUGUAUUUUUAAAUCCAAAUAAAAGCUUCACAAAGUUCUUAUUCA
rnacentral:lncRNA from 1 species